GGGGCCCUAGUAAAACCAUUACGUAACACUGUCAGUGUUAAAUUACAAGUACACCAAACCCUGUGAUCCCCA
rnacentral:tRNA from 1 species